AAUUAACGCUGGCGGCAUGCCUAACACAUGCAAGUCGCACGAGAAAGCCCGGUUCGCCGGGCGAGUAAAGUGGCGCACGGGUGAGUAACGCGUGGAUAAUCUACCUCAUUCUGGGGGAUAACGCACCGAAAGGUGCGCUAAUACCGCAUAACCCGGUUGAUUUUCGGAUUGACCGGUAAAGGUGGCCUCUUGAUCAAAGCUACCGGGAAGAGAUGAGUCCGCGUCCCAUUAGCUAGUUGGUGGGGUAAUGGCCUACCAAGGCGACGAUGGGUAGCUGGUCUGAGAGGACGAUCAGCCACACUGGAACUGGAACACGGUCCAGACUCCUACGGGUGGCUG
rnacentral:rRNA from 1 species